AGACAUUAAUCUUAAGUAUCCAGGGAGCCCUAAAACAUUGUAUCCCACUAGCAAGGACCAUGGUAAUUGCCACGUAAAUCCCCUCCAUUAUGUGGCCCUUAUUAUGACCAGCCAGCCAAGGCUUGCCUUUAAAUCAUACCAAUUGAACCGAGCCUUGUAGAAACACUAUCACCUACGCAUACCUCUGCUUCUUUUCAUUAACCUGCUAUCCUCUUUACAAAUGGGAUUCUUCACCCACUCCCUUCUUCUAGAUUAGCAAUGCCCUGUUAAGUAAACGAACACGAAAUUCAAAGGGAAACAGGAGCAAUCAUCAUUACCAGCUGCCGUGUUAAGCAUUGCGAAAACGCUCACGAUUCACAGAAAAAUCCAUGCUGUUCUUUGAAGGCAUUCAAGCCUUAAUAGCUAGCUGGAUGAAUGUUUAACUUCUAGGCCAGGCACUACUCUGUCCCAACAAUAAGCCCUGUACAUUGGGAAAGGUGCCGAGACAUGAACUUUGGUCUUCUCUGCAAUCCAUCUGGAGCAUUCACUGACAACAUCGACUUUGAAGUUGCACUGACCUGGCCAGCCCUGCCACUUACCAGGUUGGCUCUGUAUGGCUAAGCGUUUUCUCCUAAAAUCCCUUGAAAACUGUGAGAAGACCAUAAGAAGAUCAUAUCUUUAAUUCUAUUUCACAAGUCACACAAUAUUCCAAUCAAAUACAGAUGGUUGAGAAAAGUCAUCCAUCUUCCCUCCCCACCCUCCCACAGCCCCUCAACCACUGCCCUGAAACUUAUAUGCUGUUAUCCGCAGCUCCAUCUGGAGCAUCACAGCUACUGUCAACCCUGACGCUCUUUCUGAAAAAACACCGGAUGGACAUCAGAACUAUUUCUUUAAGGAUGUUACUGAGCCACACAGGAAAACUUGCCUUAUGAUUUUGAAUGCACGGAUCUGAUUUGACUAAACAUGAUAACUAGAGAAUCACCCAAUCUACUCCCAUUUUCAACUCUAAAUCAUCAGAGUGUCUCAAAUCCAAAGCACACACAGACCAGCCUGGCCAACACGGUGAAACUCCACCCCUACUAAAAGUAUAAAAAUUAUCCAGGUGUGGUGGCGGGCGCCUGUAAUCCAAGCUACUUGGGAGUCUGGAGGCAGGAGAAUCCCUUGAACCUGGGAGAUGGAGGUUGCAGUGAGCAGAGAUCACACCACCGCACUCUAGCCUGGGCCACAAAUCAACAACAACAACAACAACAAAAAACAAAGCGCACACAGAGACUGAGGUCCUCUUUGGCAUUGAGAAGAUGGCUAUGCAAGUCCCAACUAGCAAGUGCAAACUUCCCAGCUUCACUUCUGCCAGUGUCCCUUCACCCCUUCUCAACCCCACUGGGAGGCAGGAGGGUGCUUGACAAUAACAGCCUUGGCAUCACUCUGCCAGGGUGUAAUAGGAACUGUUACAAUUCUGAGAUUCUGUAAGUGCUUUGAGAUUUUGGAGUCAGACUGCUUGAACUUGAAUCCUGGCCCUCUCAUCAGAGACUUGACUUAUUUUAGGCAAGUUAUAUAACCAAUUUUACCUCAGUUCCUUACCCAUAAAAUGGGUCUAAUGAGAGUACCUACCACACAGAAUUUUGAUGAAAACUGAAUGAGAUGAAGGCCUUUAAGGCAGUGGUCCCCAACCCUGGGGACACAGACAGGUACCAUUUUGUGGCCUGUUAGGAACUGGGCCACACAGCAGGAGGUGAGCAGUGGGUGAGUGAGAUCAGCGUUAUUUACAGCUGCUCCCCAUUGCUCACCUUACUGCCUGAGCUCCACCUCCUGUCAGAUCAGCAGUGGCAUUAAAUUCUCAUAGCAGCACAAACCCUGUCAUGAACUGCACAUGCGAGGGAUCUAGGUUGUGCGCUCCUUAUGAGAAUCUAAUGCCUAAUGACCUGUCACCGUCUCCCAUCACCCCUAGAUGGGAGUGUCUAGUUGCAGGAAACAAGCUCAGGGCUUCCACUGAUUCUACAUUAUGGCACUCAGGAAAUAUUAGUUGCAUGAACGAAGGCUGCAUUUUCAUUAGAACAACAUGCAGUUCAACCCCUUCAUGUUUCAAUGAGGGUUCAGAUACCCAGAGGGCUAUGCUAUCAUCCUGGAGCCCACUCUGCUAACAAUUAGCAGAACGGAAGCCUUAAUUUCCAGAUUCUAGUGAACUUGAUGAGUCAAGACUAUUGCAAUUGGAAAUCUGUUCUCCUCUGCUGCUGCAUUCCCUGCUUAAUACUCAAGCCAGAAACCAGGAAGGCUGUGGCUUGCCUUUUCACUUCUUGUGUCCUGUUUAAGAAAUAUCUGCUAUCCCAAGCAUCUGGCAUCUUUCUUGACAUAUGUAGCAGUUGCUUUUUGACAGCUUGCUUCUUCAGUGAAUGAAUAAAUUAAUAAAGAGAAAUGUGAUGUUCAGUGAUCCAUUUUGCAGAUUGCAAACUCCUAGAGAAGGGCUCAACAGUGAGUGCUGAGGCUGCACAGAGGAGGAAGGCAGCACAAUGAUGGAAGGCUUCCUAAAGAGGCUCUUGAGUUUCUGCUUUCAAGUGACCCUCAGAAAUUCCUCCAUUCACUGCAGAGGUUCUGUUUCUCCUUGCUUUGUUCUGACUUUACGGCAGAACUAAGCUAAUGAGUUAGUUACUAUGGGUUAUCACUUGGAUUUGAAGAACCAUCAUUUCUAGGCAUUGCUGCUCAGAGUGGGUCUGCCCUCAGGGGAAGCUGUCUAACCAGAGCCUAACCCACUAGGGUUUUAUCAGAACCUAACUGACCUGAGGAAAAGAAAUACUCAACUCCAGCAAGCUCCAGCCUUCCAAAUGGAGGAGGAGAAAACCCAACUCCAGCCCACUUCAGCUAUCUUGUCCCACAUAAAGGGGAAGUGGAAGAAACCUGAGAAGCAGGCAUGAAGUUCACAGUCCAGAGUGUAUUCCACACCAUUUCAUAUUCCAUCGCAUUCCAUUCUACACAAUUCCACAUCUCCCCGGCCACAUCAGCCUGAGAGUAAUAAACAGACCUUGCCAUCGUAUCCCCUUUUGGAGACACAAGCCAGGAAGGAAGCUCUUCAGUGCAGCUGUGAAUAGAGAAAUGCUGGCUGAGGUUUUGGAGACACUGGGUGAUCAUUCCCAGUGAAAUUUUUAGAUCCCUGGGGACAUGAGCUGCUUUGUCUUUUCCAAGGCUGAAAAAGUUUUGGAAGCCCUCCUAAGCAGGUGCCAGACCCUUUUUUGGCCAGAGACAGGAUCUUACGCUGUUGCCCAGGCUGGAGUGCAAUAGUGUCAUCAUGGCUCACUGUAGCCUGGAACUGCUGGGCUCAAGGGAUCCUCCCAGCUCAGCCUCCCAAGUAGCUAGGAGUAAAGUCUGGAGAACACUUUUUCUUUUGAGCUGUUUACAACCUUUAGCAAUUGAGUAGAGUGUACUCUUGUCAAUAGAAUUUGAAGCACAUUUCUCUCUCUGCCUGAUUUCUGUAGAAUUUGUAAACUAUUUGUGAAUAUUCUUAAUUUAUGGCAAUAUGGUUGCUUACAUAAGUUCAAUAAUAAUCUGUUUUCUUUUACAAUGAGACACAGUUGGAGGAACUGGUUAUUUUCCCAGGGCUUUGACUGAAAUGGCCUUGUGAAUGGUUCCAGGAAAGCCAAUUUUGGAGACCCUAUGUGGAUGAUGAUGCUUGCUGUACUUUCUGUGGGUAAUCGGGCCAAGUAUAUGGGACUGAAGCUAAUUUUGCAGGUGAGAAAAUGGAGGUCCAGAGAGAAAAGUGACUCACCCAAGCUGAAAACAGUUGCAGGAAGAAAAGCCAGGACAGAACUGGGCUGUUAGAAACCUUGGAGUACACUAAAGAUGAGGAACUGAGUCACCGCAAUGCCAAAUGUAACACGCUGUGGGUCAAAAUUUGGAUGGUUGCGUUGGAAAUUAUUCUGAAGCCACAGACAGGGCUAAAAGAGUCUAGAAUGUCCUACUAGCUGUUGGAACCUGCUGGAGUUCUAAAGGCAUGCGAUGUCCUGAAUGUGCUUGACCAAUGGACACAGCAGGUAUUUGAAGAGUUUUGAUGCUUCCUUUCUGUUUUCAGUGCUAUUUUUUUGCUUUAUUUCUUUUAAAAAACUUUCCCCACAGAGGCUAUUUAUUACACAGCAGCAGCCAGCAUGCACCAAGCAGAACUGCUUUUCAUAAUAAACCUAUUUAUCUUCUGGCAUGUCAGAAAUUUCUCAAAUUGAUACUUAUAAUAAAUAUGAUUAAUAACACAUUGUA
rnacentral:lncRNA from 1 species